UUGAUGGCUAAAGCUUCUGUUACCGUCGUCGUUCGCUUCAGGCUUUCGGCCAUGAAGCAGAGCAAAGAGCACGUAGUCCGACGACUUGGGCCUUUGCAGGACGACACUCCUGGAGUUCCCCCUUCAGCCCGUCCACGAAGAUCCCCUUUAUCAGUCCCUCAGGGAGCCCGUGGUCGGGCCAUCUCCUGAGGAUCAGCAGCAGCCUCAGGAAGUGCGAGUGGAUGCAUUAGUGUGACGAGUUGCCAUCUCAGUGGGGUCCAGGAGUUCAAUUUUCUGGUAAGCCUGCAGGAAGGAGGCCGCCACGUUGUCCCACUCGAGCGAAGAGAGGUAGGACUCGAUGUUGAGGCCGUAGCGCAGGGCUGCCUCGUGCUCCAGCGUCGUGGGGAAGUCAGCAUUGUUUGCCCGGCGGACUUUGACGAACCGGCUCAAGUGUGCGACAGGGCAUUACUUGGCUGUGCUGUGGAACACGGCACUGGCACAACAUGUAUGUAACGCAUUGCUUGUGCAAAUCCUGGCAAACUUGAGGAUGCAUGGAGAUAGAUCCUGAGCCGCCACAGUCCCCACAUCUUCAGAAGCGGGAUUUUCGUGCUUGUCUUCGACGCUGGACCCGCACAAAGACUGAGACAAACCGAGGUAAUCAGUGCCGACAUCAUUGUGAGUCGAAUACGGAGACAACAAUCUACGGUGGCGACUGUGUCUAGGACUGUAGGACGCAGAUGAAUAGCAUGGGGAGAGAUCCGAGUCCAAGGUGAAUCAGGAGGCUUUCUACGCUCGGGACUCAUCGCUAAGGCAUCCAAGGAAUGAAGCAGGAAGAUCUUGAAAGUGGGAAAUCGACGAAUGACACGAAGCAAGCAGUCUCUGCGUGUCCACUCUCCUUAGUGAAGAAGUAUCUGAAGUGAUUCUGAGAGGAAGAUUCGGGAUCAAUGGACGACAUCUUGAGGACCGCCCGAUCUCUCCAUGUGCAGAUCAGAUUGGACAAAGGUCAUGACGGCGAAUAAAUUGAAGCCAAACCCAGCUUGGUCCUGAAGAACUUUUUCUUUCGGCCCCAUUUUUGUCUUGACUUUUCUCCUAAAAUUGGUUUUUUUUCUUCUAACCCUCUUCCAUUAUUUCGCUUCUAAUACUCUCUUUUGUUUCUGCAACAUGUCUCAAGAUUCUUUCCCUCCAAGUGCAAGAGUUUGGCUCUUCUGUCACGAGAGCAUCCUUCCUUUAUCAAGUGGAAUCCGCUUACUCUUGGCCUUGGAAACGUCUUCUGAUUUUGGUGGUCUACAGGGCUUCACCAUGUACUCACAUGGGGAUUAACAUGGAAGUUAAAGUCAUUUUUUGUUUGCCUUAAAAUCAAGGUGGAAAAAGGUUUCCAUAUUGUGUUUAUUGAAGGAGAAUGAGAAAUCUUUCCUCCGUGAAUGCAUGACUCAAAUCCCCCAUCCUCCAUGAAUGCAUGACUUAACGAAAUUAACAUGGAUUGCCUUGUCCAAGCGACAAUGUAAGUCUAAUGCUUCAACAUUUAUAGAUAGUCACGGGCUUGCUUUCAAAACCAUAAUGCCAUGCUGCAACUUAAAAUCCCCUCCAUCUUUCUGGCUUUUUCUACGAGAUCAAUCAUGGAAUCUGGAGGAGGUCUUCACUCAGAGCAGGCGGUUCUUCAGUUUGCCUUUGAACAAGAGAUGAAGCUCUUGAGGAACGAGAAGAACAAAGGCUACAGUUCUCUGUUUGAUCAGCUUCUCAAUCCUGCAAAUCAGAUAAACAGUUUGUGUCCUAUGAUCUUAUCUGUUUCUUUUGGACGUCAGCUUACUGCAGUCUAUGCUACUUAAAGCGGAUUUAGAUGAAUACCUGUUGAUUUUGAUAGCUCCCUGUAAUCAGCUGGUGGUUGGAUUGCAGCACUUAGAAAAGGAAGUGAGGACUCUUCAACAGAACCGUCACAGAAAUAGAAGCUAGUUGUUUGAACUUUGAAGUACUAAAACAAAACCAGUAGCUCUAGGACCAUGGUUUAACUGAAACUUGUUAUUCUCUAUCUGGUUGUCAUCUUCCAAAGACCAUACGAGCAGUACUGAUUCCAUUGAUGUUUUGCUUCUUAGGAAUGGAAGUACCAGAGAAUGAUCCCAAUGUGCAGAAGCCUCAUUUUGGACCAAACCCUGGCCUCUUGAGGUGUUGUAUUUUCACUAAAUAUAUUGUCGAGGUGGUGGAGGCAGAUGCUGGAGGAAUUUCAUGGUCAGGCAUGUUGAGUUUUUGUCAUGGAUGAUAUAGAGCUGUACACCUUAAUUUUUGUUGUACAGAGAUCCUCUGUUUCGCUGAGGUGGUAUUUGGGGCCUUUUCAGUACCGUAGUAAUCCUCAUCUUCCUCUUCCACGGGCAUCAGAUAGUGCCCAGUUAUUUGAACUGUACAGCUCUCUUGGGCUCUCACCUACGUUGGCCAAAGUGUUUCCUCCCAUCUUAUGUCAGACUUCCUAGAGGUGCUGCAAUAUUCUUGAUCUUGCUGAUGUAAAUGAGAAGGUGCUUAGAAUUUGCCUGUGAGAAGCGGAAGCCUGUUGACCCAAACUGCCCCCAGAGUAGAUAAAUAUGCAAUAUAAAUCUACUUUGGGCAGAGACCGGGUCAAUGGACCUACGCUUCUCGCCGGCAAACUCUAAGCUCCUUCCCUUUUGUGUCAGUUUAUGGAGGUGGGAGUGAAGAAGGAUUGAUUAGAUUGAAUGGUUCCUAUGGCAAGUAGGUCUCCAUAAAAUCAUCAGACAAACCGUUUAUCUGAUCUGCAGUAUCCGGCACCUGAUCGAACAGAGGACUGUAGCCUCUGUUGUUCGUGUUCCUCAACAGCUUCAUCUUCUCGCUCAAGGCAAACUGAAGAACCGCCUGCUCUGAGCGAAGACCUCCUCCAUUAAUUGCUGGCUGAUUCCAUGAAUGAUCGUGUAGAAAAAGCCAGAACCCGAGCAUGCCUCAGGCCAAUGGAUUGGAUUCCCCCAUCAGCAUCAGCGUCAGCAUUAUCACAAAUCAAACCCUCAGUUUUCUUGGUUUCAGUAAUGGGAAUUGAAUUGACAUAGCAGAAAAACCAGAGAGAAUGGAAGACCUGUUUGAGCAGAGAUGCCGACAAUCGGAUAUCGGGGCUCGAGGGGCCUAUACGGUUGAGAGUCAAAGUCGGAACACUCCGGUGACUACAAUGGCGUCCGCCCCAUUCAUGCUUGCUGCUGCUGCUCCACCUGGCAUUCCAUUUUUUGUUACUCUUACAUGCAUGUGAUUGCAGGCUAGCAAGGCCUUAUCUCAAAUGAUGAAUGAUAUGAACCCAACGAACCAUUACUUUCCCCGAAUCAUGUGAAUAUUUGCAUGCUCAUUAGAUGUACAAAAAAUGCAUGAACUCCUACACUUUGAUUGAGGCUCUAAGUUACAUAAUGCAAGCGGUGGUAAAAUGAGUCAAUAAAAGAAUGUCAUGAUU